AGCUGGAACAUACAUCAAAGAGUUUGUUCAUGGAGAUCUUGGUCGUACCAGUCCAAGCAUGGGAUCAAUUUUAGGAUGCAGGGCGGAGAUAAUACAACUUGAUGUCACUGAUGUCAAAAUGGGCGAUUUUUAAACUACCAAUUCUCCACAAGCUCUCAUUUUUGUAGUUUUGAUUCCUACACAUUCAUUUCCUACCUUUAAAAUAUACUAGCUACUUAAAAUUAUAACGUGGAUUAUUUUAGUGGUUCAGUUCAAUUCUAAAAUGCGUCUACUCAAAAACAGUGUCGUAGUAUAUCUUUAUGACUAGCUGUAUUAGCUGAACACAGCACAUGUAGCAGUAUGUAACUGUAAUAAUCUCUGUCUGUUAACAAAACA